UGCUUACACAUGCAAGUCGAACGGUAAGGCCCUUUCGGGGGUACACGAGUGGCGAACGGGUGAGUAACACGUGGGUGACCUGCCCUGUACUUCGGGAUAAGCCUGGGAAACUGGGUCUAAUACCGGAUAUGACCUUCUCCUGCAUGGGGGUUGGUGGAAAGCUUUUGCGGUACAGGAUGGGCCCGCGGCCUAUCAGCUUGUUGGUGGGGUAAUGGCCUACCAAGGCGACGACGGGUAGCCGGCCUGAGAGGGCGACCGGCCACACUGGGACUGAAACACGGCCCAAACUCCUACGGGAGGCAGCAGUGGGGAAUAUUGCACAAUGGGCGAAAGCCUGAUGCAGCGACGCCGCGUGAGGGAUGACGGCCUUCGGGUUGUAAACCUCUUUCAGUAGGGACGAAGCGCAAGUGACGGUACCUACAGAAGAAGC
rnacentral:rRNA from 1 species